rnacentral:snoRNA from 1 species
AGCCCCUGGCAAUGGGCGAAGAGAUACCUUGUUGGUGGUGCUGUUCUUAUAUCAGUCAAGGGCAGAGCAGAUGUCAGUCCUUUGUUCAUCCUAGCUUGAUGCCUGGCUUGGUGGUCAAAGCAAAGCUGUCUCAUGCCUAGGACACAAAA